rnacentral:lncRNA from 10 species
CUUUCCUUAGCUGUCUCCAGGAACCGGAUGUUGCAGAUUCUCUGAGCAGUUCUCUCCGAUGACACCUCAACAUGCAGUCUGGUGCAGGUGCCACUGUCACACAGAGAUGGGAAGGGCAUGUGCGGGUCACUUGGAAGAAACCCUGUGACCCCGAUGAGUGCAAUGUGGUAUAAUUUAGUAGCCCAUGCUCCUAGUUUGUCUUCUUGCAUGUGUGUGGAUUCCCUCCCAGGCAGGGAUGUAGGACAAAUCUAUCCCAGAGCUCCAUCCUUCCAGCUCAGUCUCCUUGUUGUGUGUGUGUUUUCUCCUCUAAUUUUUAACGUCUGUGGGUACAUAGUAGAUAUACAUAUAUGUGUGUGUGUGUGUGUGUGUGUGUGUGUGUGUGUGUGUGUG